rnacentral:rRNA from 1 species
UGGGCACUCUAGAGAGACUGCCAGGGAUAACCUGGAGGAAGGUGGGGACGACGUCAAAUCAUCAUGCCCCUUAUGACCAGGGCUACACACGUGCUACAAUGGCGUAAACAGAGGGAAGCAGCCUCGUGAGAGUGAGCAAAUCCCAAAAAUAACGUCUCAGUUCGGAUUGUAGUCUGCAACUCGACUACAUGAAGCUGGAAUCGCUAGUAAUCGCGAAUCAGAAUGUCGCGGUGAAUACGUUCCCGGGUCUUGUACACACCGCCCGUCACACCAUGGGAGUCAGUAACGCCCGAAGUCAGUGACCCAACCGUAAGGAGGGAGCUGCCGAAGGCGGGACCGAUAACUGGGGUGAAGUCGUAACAAGGUAGCCGUAUCGGAAGGUGCGGCUGGAUCACCUCCUUUCUAAGGAA